rnacentral:rRNA from 1 species
AUGAACAUCGCUCUCUUGUCCAAGUGGUUGUGGCGGAUUGAGAUCAAUGAUGGCAGACUAUGGCUAGAGAUUAUCCGCGCAAAAUAUUUGCGAGGUCAGCCUCUCGCGUUCGCUUCUAGGGCGGGUGGAUCCCAGUUCUGGCAAUCCAUCAUUCAAAUGUUGCCGGUCCUUCGGAUAGGAUCUUCAAUUUGUGUUGGAUCUCGCACCAACACAUUAUUUUGGCUAGAUCGUUGGUCGAUUGAUAGACCGUUUGCGAAACGGUUCUAUCCCCUUUUUAGUAUUUGCGCUCACCCACAACUCACUAUGGAUGUGGCGCUUGGGGACCUUGGUUGCACCGCUUUCCAGCGCCCCUUCGGUCCUCUAGAAUGGGAUCUAUGGGAGGAGUUGCUUCAAUGCAUACCCCUCCACUCACCAAACCUAGAGCAAGACACCAUGUCCUGGCUUCUUGAACCGAGUGGCAUGUUUUCGACCAAGUGCCUAUACCAUACACUGGUGGCCACUCCGGGUCCGGUGGAGCUAACUCUUCUUUAG